rnacentral:rRNA from 1 species
GAGGUGCGGCGGGCCUACACAUGCAAGUCGAACGGAACACUAUGUUNUGGGAUUCCCGACAUCCUCGGGGCUUCCCCUUUGUAGUGUUUAGUGGCGGACGGGUGAGUAACACGUUGGUACCUGCCCCGAAGUGGGGAAUAACUGGCCGAAAGGUCGGCUAAUACCGCAUAAUAUCGCAAGAUUAAAGCAGUAAUGCGCUUCGGGAGGGGCCUGCGUCUGAUUAGCUUGUUGGUAGUGUAAUGGACUACCAAGGCGACGAUCAGUAGCUGGUUCGAGAGGAUGACCAGCCACACUGGGACUGAGAUACGGCCCAGACUCCUACGGGAGGCAGCAGUGAGGAAUCUUCCACAAUGGACGAAAGUCUGAUGGAGCAACGCCGCGUGCAGGAAGAAGGCUUUCGGGUUGUAAACUGCUUUUAAACGGGAAGAUUAUGACGGUACCGUUUGAAUAAGGAUCGGCUAACUACGUGCCAGCAGCCGC